rnacentral:rRNA from 1 species
GACGAACGCUGGCGGCGUGCUUAACACAUGCAAGUCGAACGGAAAGGCCCUGCUUUUGUGGGGUGCUCGAGUGGCGAACGGGUGAGUAACACGUGAGUAACCUGCCCUUGACUUUGGGAUAACUUCAGGAAACUGGGGCUAAUACCGGAUAGGAGCUCCUGCUGCAUGGUGGGGGUUGGAAAGUUUCGGCGGUUGGGGAUGGACUCGCGGCUUAUCAGCUUGUUGGUGGGGUAGUUGCUUACCAAGGCUUUGACGGGUAGCCGGCCUGAGAGGGUGACCGGCCACAUUGGGACUGAGAUACGGCCCAGACUCCUACGGGAGGCAGCAGUGGGGAAUAUUGCACAAUGGGCGGAAGCCUGAUGCAGCAACGCCGCGUGAGGGAUGACGGCCUUCGGGUUGUAAACCGCUUUCGCCUGUGACGAAGCGUGAGUGACGGUAAUGGGUAAAGAAGCACCGGCUAACUACGUG